UACAGAGGUCCCAAGCGUUGUUCGGAUUCACUGGGCGUAAAGGGUGUGUAGGCGGUUCUUUAAGUUUGGUGUGAAAUCUCCCGGCUCAACCGGGAGGGUGCGUCGAAUACUGAGGGACUAGAGUACGGGAGAGGAAAGUGGAAUUCCUGGUGUAGCGGUGAAAUGCGUAGAUAUCAGGAGGAACACCGGUGGUGUAGACGGCUUUCUGGACCGUAACUGACGCUGAGACACGAAAGCGUGGGUAGCAAACAGG
rnacentral:rRNA from 1 species